rnacentral:lncRNA from 1 species
UCACUCAGGCUACUUGUAAAGAGAAGACCAUCAUUUAAUAGGCGCAUCACUUCUCCAACUGUUGUUCCUUUCUUUGCUAAAGGACGUCACAGCAAUGGGGCCCAUACCUUCAGGUGUAAAAGGCCUUCAUGUUGACUUUCCCGGACGAACCACCUCGAAACUGAUUCUCCUUUGAACCCAGGUCGGAGAAACCUAAACCUCCUGGAAAGCACCAAAUGCAAACCAUCGACACCAGUCUUCGGGCCCCCUAUGAUACUGGGAAUUCCUCAUUCUUUAUCCCUCUCUGGAAAGAGGGAAUUCUCAAUUUUAGAGCAAGUCCUCUUAUAAAUAUUUGGCGAUCUUGCCUUCCCAGCCCCUGAAUCCCCCAGGAGAUGUUGGAGGCAGGGCUUGCCUCUCACCUCAAAGCAGAAGCUGGUCAGGCAGUCCCUCUCUCAGCAGCCUGGCCGCUGGCCUGUGGAGUGGAAUGCGAGUGCCCUGGCCUUUGAAUCUGAAGCGAGUGACGCAGAGGAAAAUGGGGUACUCAAAGAUGCGUUCUGGCAGUGCCAGCAACAUCAAGAGUUGCUUAAUGAAGAAGAAACUGAUGUCCAGAGAAGGGAACUUGCCUUAGGCUACAAAGCAGAAACAAGAACCCAGGUCUCCAACCACCAGGCCAGCAUCAAUCUUCUUCAUCCUGCAUCCAGCUAAGACCCUGCAGCCCAAUUUCAAACUACUACUUGGACUAUGGAAUGAAGAAGAGAGAGGUUUAGUCUCAUCUGGGUGGAUAGACACCAUCAUAGGCUGUUUUCAAUGGUGACUUCCACUGAAGCAAAGAAAGCCAGCGUAUAAACAGAGAGAAGAAAGUGGAUUCAUCAUGAAGAGGAGAUGGAAGAGUCAGAUUCCUCAUGGCUUUUGUACCUCAG